GAUGAACGCUGGCGGCGUGCCUAAUACAUGCAAGUCGAGCGAACAGACGAGGAGCUUGCUCCUCUGACGUUAGCGGCGGACGGGUGAGUAACACGUGGAUAACCUACCUAUAAGACUGGGAUAACUUCGGGAAACCGGAGCUAAUACCGGAUAAUAUAUUGAACCGCAUGGUUCAAUAGUUAAAGACGGUUUUGCUGUCACUUAUAGAUGGAUCCGCGCCGCAUUAGCUAGUUGGUAAGGUAACGGCUUACCAAGGCGACGAUGCGUAGCCGACCUGAGAGGGUGAUCGGCCACACUGGAACUGAGACACGGUCCAGAAUCCUACGGGAGGCAGCAGUAGGGAAUCUUCCGCAAUGGGCGAAAGCUUGACGGAGCAACGCCGCGUGAGUGAUGAAGGUCUUCGGAUCGUAAAACUCUGUUAUUAGGGAAGAACAAAUGUGUAAGUAACUAUGCACGUCUUGACGGUACCUAAUCAGAAAGCCACGGCUAACUACGUG
rnacentral:rRNA from 1 species